GAUGAACGCUGGCGGCGUGCCUAAUACAUGCAAGUCGAGCGAACAGAUGAGGAGCUUGCGCCGCUGACGUUAGCGGCGGGCGGGUGAGUAACACGUGGAUAACCUACCUAUAAGACGGGGAUAACUUCGGGAAACCGGAGCUAAUACGGGAGAAUAUAUUGAAGCGCAUGGGUCAAUAGUGAAAGACGGUGUUGCGGGCACGUAUAGAUGGAUCCGCGCCGGAUUAGCUAGUUGGGGAGGUAACGGCUUACCAAGGGAACGAUGCGUAGCCGACCGCAGAGGGUGAUAGGCCACACUGGAACGUGAACACGGUCAAGACUCCUACGAGAGGCAGCAGUAGCCAACCUUCCGCAAUGGGCGAAAGCCUGACGGAGCAACGCCGCGCGAGUGAUGACGGUCUUCCGAUCGUAAAACUCUGUUAUUAGGGAAGAACAAAUGUGUCCGUAACUAUGCCCGUCUUGACGGUACCUAAUCAGAAAGCCCCGGCUAACUACGUG
rnacentral:rRNA from 1 species